GACGAACGCUGGCGGCGUGCCUAAUACAUGCAAGUAGAACGCUGAAGGAGGAGCUUGCUCUUCUGGAUGAGUUGCGAACGGGUGAGUAACGCGUAGGUAACCUGCCUGGUAGCGGGGGAUAACUAUUGGAAACGAUAGCUAAUACCGCAUAAGAGUAGAUGUUGCAUGACAUUUGCUUAAAAGGUGCAAUUGCAUCACUACCAGAUGGACCUGCGUUGUAUUAGCUAGUUGGUGGGGUAACGGCUCACCAAGGCGACGAUACAUAGCCGACCUGAGAGGGUGAUCGGCCACACUGGGACUGAGACACGGCCCAGACUCCUACGGGAGGCAGCAGUAGGGAAUCUUCGGCAAUGGACGGAAGUCUGACCGAGCAACGCCGCGUGAGUGAAGAAGGUUUUCGGAUCGUAAAGCUCUGUUGUAAGAGAAGAACGAGUGUGAGAGUGGAAAGUUCACACUGUGACGGUAUCGUACCAGAAAGGGACGGCUAACUACGU
rnacentral:rRNA from 1 species